AUGGAAAAAACUACCUCGUGGAGAAGAGUGAAUUACAAAUCCUCCGCGACCGAGGCCGCGCCGGGCUGUAAUUUCGGUUUGGCGCUGAUCCGCGCCGCUGCGGCUUGUCGAUGGCCUGAUUUAAGUUGUUGGGGCCCUGGGGAUGAAACCGGCCGCCCUCCUCGGUGCCUCUGCUGGGGUUUUGCGCUCUCUCCUAGCCCGGGCCUGAGGCGGCUUUUAAAGGAUUUUCCCCCAGGGUGGAGCUGUGUUAUCAGCGCUGCGCCAGAGCCUUGUCCCCCUCCAGCAAGCUGCGCGGGAUUACCAGGUCUUCCUCCAGGGAGCAAGCCAGGACAUCUGGAAGCAGAGAAGACCCCGGAGAUUUACACCCCUGCAUCCGGCCGCUCCUUCCCCACCUCUUCUGGACAUAAAGAGGGUUGGAGAACAACCCCGUGACACCUUUGAGCCGCUCCACCGCCGCGCGCCAGGGCGUUGUUCUUCUGGGAGAAGUCCUCGAGCUCCGCUUCGAGCUCCAGCGGCCGCAGCCUCCGCUCCGUGCUCCUCGUUGGGGGGAAAAAAUCAGAAUUUAACGCCGCGGCUCCUGGCCAGGAAAUCCCAAAUCCCCCACCCCCAGUGUGCUGCAAAUCCAGGGGGAAAGCGAAAUAUAGCGGAGUUUUGUGCCCCAAAAAUAGAGGAUUUUAUGGCCCAAAAAUAGAGGAUUUUGUGCCCCAAAAUAGAGGGUUUUAUAGCCCCAGAAUAGAGGGUUUUAUGGCCCCAAAGUAGAGUUGUUGUGUUUUUCUUUUUUUUUUUUUUUGUGCCCCAAAAUAGAGGGGUUUGGGGCCCAAAAAUAGGGGAGGUUGUGCCCCAAAAAUAGAGGAGCUUCAUGCCCCCAAAAUAGAGUUCUGUGCCCCAAAAAUAGAGAUUUUUUUAAGCCCCCAAAAUAGAGGGUUUUUUGUGCCCCUAAAAUAGAGGGUUUUUUGUGCCCCAAAAAUAGAGGGCUUUUUGUGCCCCCAAAGUAGAGGAUUUUUUUGCCUCAAAGUAGAGGUUUUGUGUGCCCCCAGAAAUAGAGGAGUUUUGUGCCCCAAAGUAGAGGAGCUUUGUGCCCCUAAAAUAGUUUUUUUUUUUGCCCCAAAAUAGAAGGGUUUUUGGGCACACCCCAAAGUAGAGGAGCUUUGUGCCCCCAAAACAGAGGAUUUUAUGCCCCAAAUUAGAGGGAUUUUUGCCCCAAAGUGGAGUUGUUUUUUGUGGCCCCAAAGUAGCGGCGUUUUGUGCCCCAAAACAGAGGGUUUCGGCCCAGAAGUGGCAUCUCGAAGCCGUGCUCCCAGCGACGAUUUUUGCCCAGCGGAGAGAAACCCCCCGGUACCUGCUCGGGGCGAUGCUGGAAUCCUGGGGGGGAGGAAAGGAAAAAGACGCUCAGGCUCUGUUUGCGUGCAAAAAAAACCCUAAAAAUCGGGUU
rnacentral:lncRNA from 1 species